rnacentral:rRNA from 1 species
GUAGGGAAUAUUGCACAAUGGAGGAAACUCUGAUGCAGCGACGCCGCGUGAGUGAUGAAGGCCUUCGGGUCGUAAAGCUCUGUCGCAGGGGAAUAACACAAUGAAGGUACCCUGUAAGAAAGGAUCGGCUAACUUCGUGCCAGCAGCCGCGGUAAGACGAGGGAUCCUAGCGUUGUUCGGAAUCAUUGGGCGUAAAGCGGAUGGAGGUGGCUAUGUAAGUCAGAUGUGAAAGCCUGGGGCUCAACCCCAGAAGUGCAUUUGAUACUGCGUAGCUUGAGUGUCGGAGAGGUUACUAGAAUUGUUGGUGUAGUGGUGAAAUACGUAGAUAUCAACAGGAAUACCGGAGGCGAAGGCGGGUAACUGGUCGAACACUGACACUGAGAUCCGAAAGCGUGGGGAUCAAACAGGAUUAGAAACCCGGGUAGUCC